rnacentral:rRNA from 1 species
UACGGGGGGAGCAAGCGUUGUUCGGAAUCACUGGGCGUAAAGGGCGCGUAGGCGGGGAGGUAAGUCGGGUGUGAAAUCCCUCGGCCCAACCGAGGAACUGCGCCCGAGACUGCUUCUCUUGAGUCCCGGAGAGGAAGAUGGAAUUCCCGGUGUAGCGGUGAAAUGUGUAGAGAUCGGGAGGAACACCGGUGGCGAAGGCGGUCUCUGGACGGUGACUGACGCUGAGGCGCGAAAGCGUGGGGAGCAAACGGG